UUUAAAGACUCUAAAGGAAAUAUCAAUAGCAUACAUAUUAAAUGAGAUCAUACACAAGAUAAAAUUGCAAAGAACAACACAGUGAAAAGUAAUGUCAGUGAAAAGGAAAUGCCUUAUCCUUUAGUAGAGUGUUAAAUCCACGGUUCCACUUCCUGCUGGCAAGUAUUUUUACCAAGGUUUUGGGUAAUCAUCCAAACAGAUUUUUGUCACUCAUCCACAGAUAUGCAUGUGCACACAUACAUACACACACAUACACACAGUGUGCAAAUGAAAGCAUUUUCUUUCCCCUUUUACACUUGCAUAUUUACCUUAACAAUAAAUAUAUCUGUUUCUUAUUAAAGGUUGCAGAAUAUUGUUUGAGCCAUAAUGGAUUUAAUUAGUUCCCCUUUAGUGAAUAUUCCUAUUUUUCUUGCUUUUCUUUUACAAAUUAUGCUGCAACAAACAGCACUGUACACCUUCCUUUCUACAGGUGAGAAUUGUUGACUGGUAUAAAUAAAAUGGAAGAUUUGCUGCAUCACAUAAAUGUGCAUUUCAAUUUAAUAGAUAUGGCAAGUGACCAUCAAAGUGAAAUUAGUUUUACUUCCCACCAUUUAUGUAUAAAAAUACAUAUUUCCCCACAGAAUGCUCUCAAACUUUUUGAGUUCAACAACCCAAAUGAUGAAAUAGUGGAUGUAAUUGUUACUUUAAUGGGCAUAUGGUAUGUAAUUGAAACUGACCUAAUUGUCCCAUAGAACUGAUGUUUAUGGUUGCUUUUGAGUAAACAUAGAAAUUGACCCUCCCGGUCUUAAAACUUGAGAAAAUUUGUCUUAUCAGAAUUUCUUUCUCAGAAAAAUAAAUAUCAGGCCUCCCAGAUUGUAUCAAGGGACUGAAACUUACCAGAUCAUUGCAUCUGGACAAUGAGACAUCAGACACCUCACCCAUCAUGAAUGCCUAAGUGACCACCUGCUUCCUGUUGACCAGUUUCUCUUCUGUAGUCCUCCCUGAUUCCUGUUUUCCUGCAUGUAGUUACAUGUUUUCCCUGCUAUAUAAACCCGUGAUUUUAGUUGGUCAUGGAGGUGGAUUUAAGAUUGAUCUCUUUUUCUCCUCAGCUGCAGCACCCAGUUAAAGUCUUCUUCCCUAGCAAUACUCACAUCUCAGUGAUUGGCUUUCUUUACAAUGAGCAACAGGAUCUAGAUCAACUAAGCAAGCACAACUUGUCCAUCCGACAGAAACCCAAUCCUGGCAAAAAUGUAAAAGUGGAGCCAGGACAAGAGCUAGAUCUUAUAUAUCAACCACUGAAUUUUGUAUUUCUGUGUUUGUUUCUGACUCAUGGCUAACAUUUUAUAAUUGAAGCUACAAGCUCUCUAUUUGUGUCUGUAUGUGUGUUUAUGUACUAUGUAUAUAUAUGUAAUAGUUUCCUGCCUCCACACAGUAUUACCAAAUUAGAUUAUAAAAAUCCCUUCAAAUACUGCUGUUUUGAUUGGUUUAGAGCUUACUCCAGUAAAACUUCAUUUCAACAAUAAUUAUGCUCUUAGUGUAUCAGCUUGAAGAUAGUCUUAAAGAUCUUUUGGUACUUUAAAACCUUAUGCUUAUGCUAAAAUUAAGUAUUCAAGGAAUGAAGGAUGUCUUGUUACAGAAUAAGUAAUUUUAUUGUAAAUAAAAUCACUGGUUUUUACAGAAUGAAACAGGAAAAUCUGAAUGGAAAAGAAAAAUGGAAUAGAACAAAGUGGAAGGGAAAAGUAGCACAAUGUUCGUGGAAAAUGAAUUGUAUUUGUUGUGGUCAAAGAUAACUAUGAUUAUAUGGGUUUAUUUUUAAGAUUAAAAAAAGACUUAGUGUCAAAUAUGAUAUGGUCCAAAAUUAGAAUUUGGUUUACUCUCUGUUAAAAUAACAGAAUUUACUUGGACUAUUAGUCUGUUCUUAAUGAGAGGUUAUGAAAAAAAUAGAUUUCUUCUUUACCUUCAGAAUAAUCUGUCUAGAAAUUAAAGAUCUUUUAUUAUCAGAAUUAUUUCCCCUGCUUUAUGUUGACUUUACUAUGCCCUUGAUUAUUUAGGAGAACAGAGUCUUGUCAAUUUUAAAAGCUAAUAAGGUUUUAUAAAGUCAUAUUACCUCCUAUAUUUACUUCUGAAAUUUUGUAUAGUCAUUUGAUUAAAUAAGAAGCCAAAUAUUGUUUUUCAGCAACCCAUGAUUUUAUUUGAUCAACUGUUGAAAUCUCCUGACAACUUUUGAUAUUUUGUCUUCCAGAAAUCAAAUCCUAAAUAAUAUCUUCCUGAUCUCAAGCUUUGAGAUUUCCUGGGGGAUUCCUGGAAAAUUACAAAGGCUCUUUCAUCUUGUUAAAAGAGAGGGGCUAGAAUAAUAUAUCAAAUUAUUGAAAUGUUAUGAGUUACAUAGGAAGUAUUGUCAAAUCAGAAGAAAUGCCUGACCUUUCCUAGUUUAAAUUUGUAUGAAUAAAAUGUUACUAAUAUAAAUAUUUGACAAAUUGUAUGAAGUUAUUUGAGAUUUGUCAAUGUUCAUGCUGUCUAUGAUAUAUCGUGCUAUAGUUUUGCCUGAUAUAAGACAACAGUGUAGUGUUAUUGGUCAACUUCACUUUUUUUUUAUGUUGUAUGCCACAGAAGCAACCAAAUUUCCAUGUCAAUUGGAAUAUUUUUGUUGAACUCAUUAUAUCAUUAACCAUGGCUAUUUUCUCUUUGCCAUUCACAGGUAGUUUUGUUUCACUCUAAUGCUUCCCUUAACGUGCUUAGCCAGAGUACUUUGGUUAUAAACCGGAGUACUUUGUCUUCAACAAGAAGGGACUGUCUCAGAGACCCAGGAAAAGGUCUAUGCCAGGCAGUAUGGGGCACAGACUUCUGAGGAAUUGUUAAGAUAAUAUUGACAACAUACCAUGGACUGAGUCAAGCUAUCCAGUAAUCUAGUGAAGAAGCUGAUGAGUUCAUGAGACUGCCGGUUCAAACUCAGCAUGAUUUUAUCGUCUUUCAAGAAGGAGAGAAUGUAAAUAAAUUAGCUAACUUUGGAAUCUUGCAUUCUCAUUUGUUUAGUAGUUAUUUAAAUUCAUUAAAUUGCUUCAUAUAAGUAACCAUUAUUCUUGACGGUAAAAUUAAGUUUUUCUGUGCCUGGCUUAUUUCACUUAGCAUAAUGUCUUCCUUGGUCAUCCAUGUUAUUACAAAUGGUAAGAUGUUUUUCUUUUGCGAGACUGAUCUUAUUUUCUCAAGAUGACUGACUGGAAACAUCAGAUGCCAGUUCUCAGAAAGAUCAAAGUUACAACUGAAUGGUCAUGAUGUGAACAGAAAGCUAAAGGAAGAGAGCCGGGACUGUUGCAGAGCCCACAGGAAAAAGCUGGGACACAGAAAAGGAAGGUAGCAAGAGUCUGGCAGAGAUUGACCUCCGAGGAAUUUGAAGUCCCACAGAGGGAGUAAGUGUGCUGUUUCUUUGCUCCACUCAUUCCUGUGACAAACUGCUGACUGACAAAUUAUUGGGGAGCACCUCUGCCCUCAUUAACCCCUGCAAUGCUGUCAGUGGCAAUUUGGGAACUUCCUGGGAAUAGAGCCCCAGGUGGCCUUCUUAUACAGAUGUGCUUGCAUUCCUCUCAGGUCCAAACUGAGAUGGCAGAAACCAUACUGGUUGUGCCCCUAUUGUGGGCCACUGUCCUGCUCAGGGAACCUCAUCCUUUGUGUCACUGCAUCGCCAGAUUCCCUGCAAAUGUACCCAAGAACCUGCUCUGACUUGGCAACCACGGGGACUGGUGGAACCAUGAGGAAUUGCAGAAUCCCUGGAGAUGUAACCUUCCACACAGGCCACCCUUAAGGGAGUGGGGAGCAUAGCCCACAAAAGCACCCCUUGUGACAAAGGAAACAUGGGUCCAGUGCGGAUCUCUGAAGGAGGCAGCACCAAUGACCAGGAAUAGAUGUGUGUGUGUGGAGGGGGGUGGGUGGGGGGGUGUCAUCUCCCAUUCCCCUUGUCCACUGUUCCAGAUGCAGCAGAGGCUUUCUCCACUGCAGACUGUCACGAAUGCACUUGAAGACAGCCUUUCCAGUGCUAUUCACAGAAACUGCACCCCCGUUGAAAGUGAGCUUGUACCCCACUGGCAUGCAUGAUGGGCAGGGCCCAAUCUCCCCCUCCGUACAUAGAGGAGCAGCAUCGCAGCAACAGAAGGCAGUCAAGCCAUGAAGCCUGGUCUGGACUGGAAGAAGAAGCAUUGUCCUGGGGUCAUUUCAGUCCUGGGGUCAUUUCAAAAUAUUCUUCUGCCAGAAUAUUUUCUCUGACCUCAGUAACACUGUGGCCAGAGUCAAAGGACACUGUCUAUAUGAACUGAAGGUCAUGAGCUCUGUGACAGGGGCACAACAGGGAAGCAAAUCACAUUCCUCCCUGCCCAGGACUAGAGACAGAUGUAACCCCCCAACUUCUUCCCCCAAGACCUCAGUACAUCCCAACACAACUCUCCCUGCCUGCCCCCAUCAGGAUGGGUUGCCUCCACUUAUCAAAGGGCUACCAAAUGUUACUCUUAAGCGCCACCUACUGGAAUGGAGACUGCUGCAUCACUGAAUAAAAAUCCCUGCUGUCCGAAGAGCACAGGGUUAGUGCAUGAGAUAAGCUUCCUGAGACCGCUGCAUUCCCAGUCACGCAGGGCAUAGUGUAUUGGCUCAUAUGCCCAACACAUUGCUAAGGCAAGCAGCAUUUGAGAAAACCACCACACAUGAUUCCAUAUCUUUGUUACUGUGAAUGUGCUGCAAUGAACAUGGGAAUGCAGAUAACGCAUCAAAACACUGGUUUCACUUCUUUUGGAUAUAUACCCAGCAAUGAGGUUGCUGGAUCAUAUUUUUAAUUUUCUGGGGAACCUCCAUGCUGUUUUUUUAUAACGACUUUACCCAUUUACAUUCCCACCAAUAGUGAACAAGUGUUUUCUUUUCUCCACGUCUCCACCAACACUUAUUAUCUUUUGCUUUUUUGAUAAAAUACACUCUAAUACGUAUGAGGUGAUAUCUCAUUGCGGUUUUAAUUUACAUUUCCCUGAUGGUUAGUGAUGUUGAGAAUUUUUUCAUAUCUGCAUUGGCCAUUUGUAUGUCUUCUUUUAAGAAAUAUCUAAGUCUUUUGUCCAUUUUUAAUUCUGUUAUUUAUUUUCUUGCUAUUGAUUUGUUUAAGUUCCUUAUAGAUUUUGGAUAUUAACCCCUACCAGAUGUAGCAAACUGAAUUCAAUGGCACAUUAAAAGGAUGGUUCACUAUGAUCAGGUGGGAUUCAAGAAUGGAUCACCAUAUGCAAAUCAAUAAAUGUGAUACACCCCAUUAACAGAAUGAAGAACAAAAACCAUAUGAUCAUCUCAAUAGAUGUAGAAAUGCAUUUGACAAAAUUCAACAUUUUUUAUGAUAAAAACUCUCAACAAAUUAGUUAUAGAAGCAAUGUACCUCAACACCAUAAAGGUCGUGUAUCACAAGCCCACAUAACAUAAUAUGCAAUGGUGAAAAGUUAAAGCUUUUCCUCUAAGAUCAGGCACAGUAUAAGCAUGCCCAAUCUUGCCGUUUCUAUUCAACAUAAUAAUGGAAAUCCUAGCCAAAGUGAUUAGGAAAGAGAAACAAUAAAAAACAUCCAACUCAUAGAUAAGGGAGUUAAAUUGUUUCUGUUUACAGAC
rnacentral:lncRNA from 1 species